rnacentral:rRNA from 1 species
CCCGGGCCUUGUACACACCGCCCGUCACACCAUGGGAGUUGGUUUUACCCGAAGACCGGUGCGCUAACCGCAAGGAGGCAGCCGGCCACGGUAAGGUCAGCGACUGGGGUG